rnacentral:rRNA from 1 species
UGCGCAGGCGGCUUGGAAAGAAAGAUGUGAAAUCCCAGAGCUCAACUUUGGAAUGGCAUUUUUAACUAACAGGCUAGAGUUCUGUAGAGGGGGGUAGAAUUCCAGGUGUAGCGGUGAAAUGCGUAGAGAUCUGGAGGAAUACCGAUUGCGAAGGCAGCCCCCUGGACAGUGACUGACGCUCAUAUGCGAAAGCGUGGGGAUCAAACAGGAUUAGAUACCCCCGUA